GUUGUUGCGUCACCACCUGGUUAGAGUGGACUCCCAUGCGUCCCUGCUCUCCCUUUUCUGCCGCCUUCGCUCCGUCUCCUCCCGCUCUCUUCACUGUCGGCUACAAUCUCAGCAAUAAGAAGGAAAUGGUGGGAUCGAACCUGAAGGAGGAGACUAUGUCGCUGAUGAAGCGGCGGGAACUCAUUGAAGAGGAGAUGAACGCCAUCAUCUCCCGCCUGACCGCUCCCGGUGCCCCCGGAAUCUCGGGCAAUCUCCUCGACUCCGAGGGGUUUCCAAGAGCAGACAUUGAUAUAAUGGCCAUCCGGUCAGAUCGCCAUCGACUUGCAGAAUUGCGUAAUGAUCAUAGAAAUCUAACUUCAGAAAUUGAAAAGAGCUUGCAAGUUCUGCAUUCAGCAAGAAGUAGUUCUAGUUUGGCAGUUCCCUCUGAAAAAUCAGCUGCCAGUGAGGAGACAAACCCUGUAGCUUCAUGUGCAUCUGCUGUUUCAUCUGGCUUAACUGAUCAUGUCAUUUCUGAGGUUUCUUCAGAUGCCAUGGAAGAGGAUCCAGUUAGUAGGGUGCCCUUCGCUGUUGUUGAUGAAAUAGCCAGUGAUUCACCUGCUGCUGAAGAUGGAAUCCAACUUGGUGACCAGAUACUGAAGUUUGGGAAUGUGGAAGGUGGUGGUCAAUCAUUGCUUCCAAGACUUGCUACUGAAGCUCAAUCAAACCAGGGUAACCCAGUACCACUGAUCAUCAUACGCCAGGGGGCGGUCAUCAAUUUGAUAGUGACACCUAGACCAUGGCACGGACGUGGAUUGUUGGGUUGCCACUUCAGAAUCCUGUGAUGUUCUCAGUAGUCAGUACCGGUCCGAAGAUUGGCAUAGCAUGUUCUGUGGUCUAUUUAGUUGUUGAUGACUGUGGGCUGUGGUGCGAAUUUUCCUUUCAUCCUCCAUGGGUUCCUCCAAGCCUCCUUCUGAGACAACUGUUUACUGCAAUUGGAUAACGGUUGAAACUCCAAGUUAAUUUACACAAGAACUCCAGCCUUGCUGCCAAUGUUCGCUUUGGAACAAAUGUUACUGUGUUACUGCAAUGGGAUAACGGUUGAACUACAAUGCAUCUCCAAGUUAAUGUACACAAUUUACACAAGUCCUGGCUGUGAUCUGCACACCUUUGUGUGUGUGUAUAUAUAUAUAUAUAUGAAUCGUGACUGUGCCUCUCCAGUACGUAUGGAGACAUCAAACUAAGAGCGUCCCUCAUUUUGAUCGGACGGUCAAAAAGAUAUUUCUUUUACAUCUGGAGCACCCUUGCUCCUCAUGCUGCUGCCCUUGCUGCCUGCGGCAGGCAUGCUGCUGCCCUCGCUGCCUGCGGCAGGCAAAGAUUCUGUCUUGCCCCUUA